UACGUAUGGUGCAAGCGUUAUCCGGAUUUACUGGGUGUAAAGGGAGCGCAGGCGGCACGGCAAGCCUGAUGUGAAAGCCCGCGGCCCAACCGCGGGACUGCAUUGGGAACUACCGGGCUGGAGUGCCGGAGAGGUAGGCGGAAUUCCUAGUGUAGCGGUGAAAUGCGUAGAUAUUAGGAGGAACACCAGUGGCGAAGGCGGCCUACUGGACGGUGACUGACGCCGAGGCUCGAAAGCGUGGGGAGCAAACAGG
rnacentral:rRNA from 1 species